UGGUUUUUGUGGUGUGUAAAUGAUUUUAUAACUGCCGGGUCAAAAAUGACCCUAAGACAAUCUUUGUACCCUGGUGGUGUACAGCUUUCAUGGAAAUAUGAACAAAGGCAACCUUUCACUUUUUCUAAUUUUAGGAAAAGUAAUCAAAUUUCAAGUUGAAAAAAUAUCAUUUAGGGGGUUUUCUCUGCUGUUAAACAUAGUGGCUGGUCAUUUUUGACCCUUAAGACAACACAAGGGUUAACGCUUCCCAACCAUUUCCAGUGUGGUUUAUUAGAGUGUAGUGAUUCUCUGUAGGCUGUUCCCUUUCUCUGAUCAGCAUUUAACAGCACGGGAGUUGAGGGGGCAGCAUUAGUGGAAGUGCUGCUGCUUCUUUCUGGUUCAUCAUGUUAAGUAUAGCAUGCUAAUUAAGCAUCUGUUUAACAAGAUAUUAUUGUAGGUCCUCUAGUGUUGCUGAACAGAUGUUCAGACAUCAUUGGGACAACAUGACUUUAUCUCUAAUGGAAUGGAAACCUCAUAGUGUUUGCUGUUUAUGGCCGUGUGUAGCACAGAAGUCAUACAUUAUCUAUGUACUGAUAGAAAUCACUAUCUGCAUUUUCAAUUUGUUUCAUUUAGCAGACGUUCUUAUCCAGAGCGACUUACAGGAGCAAUUAUGGUUAAGUGCCUGGCUCAAGGGCACAGCAACAGAUUUUUCACCUAGUCAGCUCGGGGAUUCGAACCAACGACCUUUCUGCUACUUGCCCAACGCUCUUAACCGCUAGGCUACCUGCCACCCUAUCUAGGCUGCUAAUAUGUGUUGACAGUCUGUCAAUAUGGAUUGGUAAUAUAAGAAUGGAAAUCAUAGACAGUCUGAUGAACACAAAUCGCAUUGUGAUCAUGAUCAAAUUACCUUGAGGGAAUAUUCUUGGGAUGGGUGAAGUAGCAAAGUUUGAAAUUGUUAUUUUGAACCCAUAUGGCUAAUAAGUAUUGGAGGGGUUGGGAUCAAAACAGAUAGCCAGAGGCAAAUGGAAUCUUAGUCUUACUAUUAAAAUGUAUUUAAAAAAAAAAUCUUAUUGUUACACUAUGGGUGAAAAGCGAAACCUCCCUUAUUAAUCAUGUAAAACUGCGUAUUCCAUGUAUCUUUGGAGCUGAUUUUCUGUCUUGAUGUAAUAGUAUUGCAUCCAGAAAAGGCCGGUUGAGCAGAGGUGGAAAAACUCCCGUUACAAUUAGAUGUAUGCACAGCCUUCUUCUGAAUUCCAGGCAGGUUUUCUGUUGGUGAAAUUCCUGAUGAUUUGAGGCGUUCCAAGCGUGCGCUGGGUGCUGAUGUUCCCGACGGAACAUUGGAGUGCAGGCUGGCAACCGCAGAGGAUUCUGGGAUAAUGGAUUGGUGUGGAUGGAGGUCAGGAGGGGAAGUUUUCCCUGUUUUCUCUUCUCCUCCUCUAUAACUGAACCUACAGUUAGUCUGUCUGGACAUUCAUCUCUGGAAGCUUCCCUUUUCCCCUAACGUAAACAACAUGGGGCACCAGAAGUCUUUCAAUGGAUAAGAUGGUCACAGUCUGGAGUUCAUUCGAAUCCGCCAAUGCUACGUUUACACAGUAAUGUACUGCUGCCUGCAAACACGCUUCUAUUCGAUGGACUAUUUAUUCCUUUGAGUGACCAAGUCACUCACUUUACUAUAUAUUUGUAAAUACAGUGUAUUAAAGUCCAUUAUUAAUACAUACUACCUCUCUUAUUACUUCUAGUACUUGUUAAUUUUGACUACACUCUUUUUAUUGUUAUUGACUAAUGUACUGCACUUCUUGUACCUGCAGUAAACUGUAUAUGUGACAAAUAAAAUUUGAUUUGA